CCUACGUCUGGUCCAGUCGGUCUUCCUCCGGCCCGGGCCCUGGCCUAGCUAGCCAGCCAUGGAGGUGAAGAAAAUAUUUGGAAGCUCUGUGAAUACAUCAAAAACCAUGACCAGUAUCCUUUAGAAGAAUGUUAUGCUGUCUUCAUAUCUAAUGAGAGGAAGAUGAUACCUAUCUGGAAACAACAGGCGAGACCUGGAGAUGGACCUGUGAUCUGGGCUGACCCCCAGAAGCCUCCUUUGUUAUUAGUUUGGAGCAGAUCCUUGCAGAUGUUUUCCUCUGCAUUCAAAUGCAUGGAAAUGUACUUCUGAAUGCGCAUGAUUACCAUGUUGUUUUGCUUCAUGUUUCAAGUGGAGGACAGAGCUUCAUUUAUGAUCUCGAUACUGUCUUGCCAUUUCCCUGCCUCUUUGACACUUAUGUAGAAGAUGCCUUUAAGUCUGAUGAUGACAUUCACCCACAGUUUAGGAGGAAAUUUAGAGUGAUCCGUGCAGAUUCAUAUUUGAAGAACUUUGCUUCUGACCGAUCUCACAUGAAAGACUCCAGUGGGAAUUGGAGAGAGCCUCCGCCGCCGUAUCCCUGCAUUGAGACUGGAGAUUCCAAAAUGAACCUGAACGAUUUCAUCAGUAUGGAUCCCAAGGUAGGAUGGGGUGCUGUCUACACACUAUCCGAAUUUACACAUCGGUUUGGCAGUAAAAACUGCUGAACUUGGCCUCAGGAUGUGGAACUGUGGAGAAAUUCUAGGACAUGAACAAGCUAUCCUUUCAUCGAGGACAGCAAACAUUAUGGUACAGUUGGCUUGGAAUUAUGUCUUUCUCUUUUAAUUUGAUUGAGUGGAAAUCUGAGUGAAUACAAAUAUAAAUGAACAACAUAAAAACUUUUGACAUGUCAAAUUGAAACUUGAUAAAG
rnacentral:sRNA from 1 species